rnacentral:lncRNA from 1 species
AUGCUGUUUCUGACAUUAGCCAUGGGUACUCCUGGAGUAUUUCCAAGUUUUCUAAAUAAAUGUUCUUGUGUCAUCUCCCUGUUUUGGUUUGUUUUAUUUUUUCUAUUUUGUUUCUGUGCUUAUGUCACUCUCCUUUCCACCAGGCUGGAAAUGGAGAACAUGUCUUGGAGUUCCCUGCACAAGAUUCCUGUUUCCAGUCUCACUGUGUCUGGCUGUCCUUGGAGCACUCAUGCCCGUUGCAGUGAGCAGAAGGGAGCCCUGGUUGGGUGCUGUUCUGAGCAUACAGGGCCACUGGUGUCCCUACAGCAGUAUGGCAGAGCACUGCAUCAGGUUAUUAACAUCCUGCAGCAAAGGCAUCACUUCAGCCUAAACAUUUGUGGAAGAAAUAAACUCUACAUGAAAACUGAAUGUAAUUAAGUCUUACAUUCAGGACCCUGAUGAGUGA